AUGCGUAAUCAAGACCCCCUCCCCCUCACCCGCCCCCGCGUCGCUCCCUUGGGGCAACUCGGGCGGCCCCCAACCCUAGCACGCCGCCGGCCUCUCCCCUCCUUCCUCCAGACCUUGCCGCCACCGGAGACUGCCGCCGGCAAGCCCGCGCGGCGCCGAGGAAGGUGGCGGCGAGGCUUGCCGCUCCUGCCUCACGCGCAGGGCAUGGUGUGCCGGGGUGGCGGCCCCGGUCAAGGUGGGCAACGCUGCUUCCUGCGGCGGACGGCGGCUACGGGUGCUCGGCUGGGCACCUCGGCUUGCUUGGGCGGCGAGGCCCCGGUGGAUGGAUCUCGCGGUGGCCGGAUUUCCUCCGUCGGUCCGCCUCCAGAUCUGAUUCGACCAGCUCCAACUCCACCCUCCUCGCCUUCUCCCGUUCGAUCUCAGCUCCGGUGCGACUCUGCUCGCCGGAUCCGGCGGUUGGCGGUGUUUUGGCGGUGGGGCUCCUGGGACCGGGGGAAACCCUUGGCCGCCGGCGGCGGCCACAACGACGACGAUGCCGCGGCGUCGAACUACUUCUUGGAGGCUUCGUUGAGGUAUCCCACCCCCCACCAAUCUGCCCCUGCAUCUAGGUGA
rnacentral:rRNA from 1 species